rnacentral:rRNA from 1 species
AUUGAACGCUGGCGGCAGGCUUAACACAUGCAAGUCGAGCGGAGUGAUGGUGCUUGCACUAUCACUUAGCGGCGGACGGGUGAGUAAUGCUUAGGAAUUUGCCUAUUAGUGGGGGACAACAUCUCGAAAGGGAUGCUAAUACCGCAUACGUCCUACGGGAGAAAGCAGGGGAUCACUUGUGACCUUGCGCUAAUAGAUGAGCCUAAGUCGGAUUAGCUAGUUGGUGGGGUAAAGGCCUACCAAGGCGACGAUCUGUAGCGGGUCUGAGUGGAUGAUCCGCCACACUGGGACUGAGACACGGCCCAGACUCCUACGGGAGGCAGCAGUGGGGAAUAUUGGACAAUGGGGGGAACCCUGAUCCAGCCAUGCCGCGUGUGUGAAGAAGGCCUUAUGGUUGUAAAGCACUUUAAGCGAGGAGGAGGCUUACCUAGUUAAUACCUGGGAUAAGUGGACGUUACUCGCAGAAUAAGCACCGGCUAACUCUGUGCCAGCAGCCGCCGUAA